ACUGGACUUGGAUCAGAAGGC
rnacentral:miRNA from 1 species